UUUUUUUGUUUUUGUUUUUGUUUUUUUUUUUGCUUUUUAGGGCCAUACCCACAGCAUACAGAAGUUCCCAGGCUAGAGGUUGAAUCAGAGCUGCAGCUGCCAGCCUACCCCAUGGCCACAACAAUGCAGAAUCUGAGCAGCAUCUGCGACCUAUACCACAGCUCACGACAAUACCAGAUCCUUAACUCACUGAGCAAGGCCAGGGAUCGAACUUGCAUCUCCAUGGAUACAGGACAGUAUCCAUGGACAGUGGGUUUGUAACCCACUAAAGCCACGAUGGGAGCUCCCACCACUGUGGUUUUCAAUCAACUUUGCCAUCUUAACCCUGGUGUGACUAAUAAAACAUAUCGGGACUGGGGAAAAUGGAUCAAGAGCCGGUCUGCAAGCCCCUGGUAGGUGAGUCUGCCAAGACGGGGUGGGCCCCUUGGUAUAAAGCCUGAGAGGGUGAGUUUGUGCCUGGGCCCUGCCUAGAAGCCUCUUUCAGGCAAAUGAACGCUGAUAGGAGGAUUCUGAUUUUCCAAAUGAGAUGUCCUCGGCCCUUCCUUCCACUCAGAACAGUCUCAUUUGUCAUUUCAGGGAGUGCCCCAGAGAUACCUGGUCACGUCCAAUGCCCAAAGGCAGACAAGCCCACACCAGUCCUGGCCUCGGGGUCCUCAGGACCAUUUCCAUGUAUUAGAUCCUCCUCUAUGUCUCAGCAAGCCCAUCUGUAAAAUGGGAAAGCAGCCAGCCAGCAGCUCAGGGAGAAUGGCCAUUCCGGAGAGCCUUGGUCCCAGGAGACAAGCCUGGGGCCCUGGCAGCACUGGCAGCGGGAUCGUCCUGCCUUCAGAAGGGAAGGCAGGGGGUUCUGUACCUAGCCUCUCAAUCGGCCUUAUAUCUUGAAUAAAUUGCGUGUUGGAAUUUAAUUUGGAAUCCCUGCUGUUUCCUUGAUAAACGCAAACCACACUGCAAUUAGAGUGAUGAGGCAGGCUGCUGCCGCUCCUGAGACGAACAAUCUGUCUGAGCAAGAAGGGAGGGGACAGGCACUUGGCAGGUGGUGGGUGGACUCGUGCUGGGCGUGUUCUCUGCACUGCCCCCCCCCCCGCCACCUCCCAGGGGAGAAAGGCCCUCAGGGGAUGAGGGUUGUCUACUAACGUCAGCUCCAGGGGGGCAGAGUGGAGAAAGGGUUUCGGGGAGACUAACGCUCGGUACAGCUGAUUCAACCUCUGACUCGGCUCUGAACCUCUGCUCCUUCACCAUCUCAAGUACAUAGUAUCUUGAGCAUUUGCUAUGGUUCAGGCACUGGGCUACGUGCUCUCAAGCUAUUAGCCUACUUAAUCCACUAAGUGGCUUCAGGGCACAGGCACACUCAUCAUCUCCAGGUUACAGGUGAGCUGUGUAAGGGAUGGUGGUAGGUAGGAUUUGAACCCAAUACCCAAGGUCCAAGUCCAUGUUUCACCUUAACCCAUGCAUUUCCCCCAAGGUUCCAGCUUUCCAGGAACUGGUCCAUCUCUCUCUGGUCAUUUGUUACCUCCUCCAAGGACCCCUGUGCCUCCUAUCCCCACACCUCAUAUUGCCUCACUGAAGGGGGAACCCGCUCCCUCUCCACCGUUUCACUGGCAGUGAAAUGGAGGACAGCUGGUGGAUGAGUUCAGGAGAACUGACAGUCCUCAGGGCCAUGGGAACAGGUGCAGGGGGCGUGCCUUGCCUUCCCCAUCUUCCAGGUGGAAAGCAGACUCUUGCGAGGGCUGCUCCUGGAAGCCUGAGCCAUCUGUUUUCUCUCCUGCCCCAGCAUCUCCAUCUGAGACUAGAUGGAAUAGUUGGUGUGGCCUCUUUUAUGAAGGGUUGGCAGAUGGAGUUGCCAAAAAGUGUCAUUUUGGCUUCAGGUCUGGGCUGCACACAUUCAAAACUGAUUUUUGAACCUUAUUUUGUUCAGUUCUUUGUACUGAUAUACUAUAAGCCAGAAUUCAGAGCAAGAGAGGAACUGGUCCCCUCAACCUAACUCCUAACUCACAGAUACCAGAGCUGAAUAUCCAUCAGCCCACCAAGCUCGCAGAGCCCAACUGCUGCAGCCCCCGGGAGGUCUGCCCAUGGCCUCCUACCUGUGGUAUAUUGUGGCUGCUGUCUGCAAAGAAACACAUGGGGCCUCUUUGGAGGAUGUGUAGGAGGAGCUUGUCCAACAAUGGCGUCACUGUUGGGUUGGGUGGCACUGGGUCAGUUAGGAAUGCUUUUGGCUGCAAGCCACUGAAAGUCCGACAAUGUUUUAAUUUUUUUUUUCUUAGUAGCAUGAGUCUCUAGGUGAAUGACUGCUGGCAUCCAUUCCAUGAUUCCAUGUCUUCAGGGACAGCAUCUUUAUGAGUCCCUUGAUGAUUCACUCAUGUGUAUGGUCCAUAACCAUUAGAUGUCUGCCCCAGCUCCAGGCAUCGGGUCCAAACUCAUGGUAAGGAAGAUGGAAGAGAUGCACCAGUAACUCUUGUGUGUGUUAUUAGGGAAACAAUUUUCCUAGACCCUGCAUCAGACUUCCCUUGACAUCUCAUGGGCCCGAAAUAGUCAUGUUGCCAUCCCUAGCAGCAAGGGAGUCUGGGAAAGAAGAUAUUUGGUACUUCUAGUCUACAAUGAAUUUGGGCAAUGGAGAGUGAAGUUAGGUCUUAAAUUAAUCAAACAAAAGGAUCUGCCACCACAUUUCUUGCGUUCACUUGGUUGGUUCCAUUGCAUGUGAACAUGAAAUAUACUUGGUUUGGGCUGAUCAGGCUUAGCAGCAACUUUUAUCUCACCUUGUCUCUUCUAACUCCCAUGGCAAAGUUGGCUCUUCGAAAAAGCCUCUUUGUCCAUCCUUGGUGAAACCCAGGGCUUAGUUGGCCAGGACUGGGACACAGGGCAUCCCUAGGGCCCUGUAGCAUGGAUGAUGAUGACUGAUGAUGGGGUGGUGGUGAUAAAAAAUAGUCACAUGAGAUAAGUUCUAUUAUUAUUCCCAUUUUUCGGACAAGGAGACUGGGGUUUAGAGAAGUUGCAUGAAGUGACAGCACUCUAAGAGCCUGAGUUUGUGGUCACUGUGCCAUACCUUCCUGGAAUUCACUUUCCAGGACCAGAAGACCAGAAGGUAGCAAAUCUCCAAGGACUACAAAGGCCAGGAAUGGGGAAAUGUUCUGAGAUUAAUGAUCCAGGUAAUGCCACCGAUUGUCCAAAAUUGGUUACAUGCACAGCAUCAGUGAAGUUGAACGUGGUCUGGAGAGGCAGCAGACACACCACACACCUAGCUUUAUCCCACAGCUCGUUAAUCACCCUCAAUUCAAAAGCAUUUAUCAUGAUUAGAUUCAGGCCUGUCCCUGUGGUAAUAGAUUUUUUUUUUAUAGAUACAAUGCAAAUAGAAAAUCACAUGUCCCCUGUGGCCUCUAAAGGUCAAGAUCUGGAGAUCAGGAUCAUUCAUUCAUUUAACAAAUAUAUAUUGUGUACCUACUGUGUGCCAGACACUGUUCUAGAUACUGGAAAUCCAGCAGGGAUCAAAAUGAAUAAAAACCUCUGCCUUCCUGGUGUGUAUACAUCUUUCCCCCUCAGGGGCAUGGCAGGCAGUAAAGAAAAUUAAGAGGUAAGUUGUAAAGAUUGUUAUAUGGUGUUCUCAUGCUCCCAGGAAAGGACUGAUUAUUCUAGUCAUGGGUACAAGUUUCCACCAGAACUAGUUUUAAACCUGUCUAAUCCAUCAAUGACACUUCUACACUUAAUGAAUUGAAGUGACAACUCACUUCAAUGAACACAAUUCUGAAAGCCAAGCAAUCAGUGACAGCUCCAUGGUGCAGAAGCCAGCCAAUUGCUGGUGGACUGGCUUCUGUGAACACACGUCUGAGGCUAACAUCAACUCAUUCCUGCCUCUAAAGCCAACACAACCCCAAAUAGACUCUUCCCAGUGACUAUAAAAGACCAGCGGUUUGCUCUGCUCAGAGAAACUCACGUGAUCAGCCUGGCUUUUCCUUUACUUAGGCAUAAGAAAUAUUUUCAGGAGUUCCUGUUGUGGCUCAGCAGUUUAAGAACCCAAUUGGUAUCCACAAAGAUGCAGGUUCCAUCCCUGGCCCCACUCAGUGGGUUAAGGAUCCGGCUUUGCCGCAAGCUGUGGUGUAGGUGGCAGACACAGCUCAGAUCUGGUGUUGCUAUGGCUGUGGUGUAGGCCGGUAGCUGUAGCUCCGAUUUGACCCCUAGCCUAGGAACCUCCAUAUGCCGCACCUUUGCACCCCCCACAAAAAAAAUAGGAUCUGGCGUUGCUGCAUUGGUCAUAGAUGCACCUCUAGCUAGGAUCUGGCAUUACUAUUGCUGUUGCUGUGGCAGUGGCAUAGGCCAGCAGCUGCAGCUUCAAUUUGAGCCCUAGCCUGGGAAAUUUCAUAUGCCUCAGGUGCACCCCUACCCCCAAAAAACUAAAAGAAAGAAAUAUUUUCAGAUUUUGAGUGGCAGUCUUUGAUCAAGCUGGAGAUUCCAAUGAGAUUAUUUUGAAGGCCCUCAGUCCAACAGGUGGCUCACCAGCUCCUUUGUGCCCACGUGUAAUUACUGUUUUCUCUGACAUGUUUCAUUAAAAUAUCUUUGCUGAACUUAUUUCCUUAUCCUAGGAUUUGUAACCAAAUGGUUCUUUGUACAAGGAAAUUAGGCCUCAGUCAUUGUAUGAUGAGAACUUUUUUUGGAGUUGUGUCAUUUCGUGAGUAUUUUUGCCAUUAAUCUGUUUAUUCUUUUCCUGCUUGCUUUGCUUUUGGUUUUGUUUGACCAUUUGUACAAAGUCUUGUCUUGUAUGUUUUUGUUUUGACCUGGAUUACCUUGUGUCCGUUGAAAGCAUAGAGAACGCUCCACGGGGAGAGCUGGACAUGUAGGCUCCAAUCCAAUUCAAGCCAGCCCCAAGGACCACAAGCUGGAGGUCCAGAGACCAGUAAAUAAUUCAUGCCGAAGUGAUGGAUCAAAUUCUGUUCUGAGUCCCCUUCAAAAUUUUAUGAGAUGACUCCCCGUCUUAUUGAUUUAUAAAAGAAGGCCUCUUUGUUCAGUUUAUCCCAAGGUCAACAAUUGUUGGAUUAUUGACUCUCUGACCCCCCCGCCUCCAGCCUUUGUUGGAUUGAAGAAUCUGAAACACUAUUCAUAAGCACAAAUACUUUGGACCAACCACGGUGGUCUCUCUGUCCUAGGUUUGGCUAUGUCAAAGUUUUAACCUCCUCCUGGCCAAAUUCCUGCUUUUCCUAUGAAUUUUCAUUUAACUGGGUAAAU
rnacentral:lncRNA from 1 species